CCCUUAGAUGUUCUGGGCCGCACGCGUGUUACACUGAGUGGAUCAGCGGGUCAGGUUACGCGAGAGCGUUUCCUAAUCUUCAAAUCCGCUCGUGAUGGGGAUUGACGGUUGCAAUUUUCCGUCAUGAACGAGGAAUACCUUGUAAGCGCGGGUCAUCAUCCCGCGCUGAAUACGUCCCUGCCCUUUGUACACACCGCCCGUCGCUCCUACCGAUUGAGUGGUCCGGUGAGGCUUUGGGAUCUAAGCGAAAAGAGCGUUUCGCUCCUUUUGCUGGGAGAACUCAGUCGAACCUUAUCAUUUAGAGGAAGGAGAAGUCGUAACA
rnacentral:rRNA from 1 species